rnacentral:rRNA from 1 species
GACGAACGCUGGCGGCGUGCUUAACACAUGCAAGUCGAACGGAAAGGCCCUGCUUUUGUGGGGUGUUCGAGUGGCGAACGGGUGAGUAACACGUGAGUAACCUGCCUUUGACUUUGGGAUAACUUCAGGAAACUGGGGCUAAUACCGGAUAGGAGCUCCUGCUGAAUGGUGGGGGUUGGAAAGUUUCGGCGGUUGGGGAUGGACUCGCGGCUUAUCAGCUUGUUGGUGGGGUAGUGGCUUACCAAGGCUUUGACGGGUAGCCGGCCUGAGAGGGUGACCGGCCACAUUGGGACUGAGGUACGGCCCAGACUCCUACUGGAGGCAGCAGUGGAGAAUAUUGCACAAUGGGCGGAAGCCUGAUGCAGCAACGCCGCGUGCAGGAUGACGGCCUUCGGGCUGUAAACCGCUUUCGCCUGUGACGCAGCGUGAGUGACGGUAAUGGGUAAAGAAGCACCGGCUAACUACGUG